GACGAACCGUGCGAACGUUAUUCGGAAUCACUGGGCUUAAAGCGCGUGUAGGCGGAUGGGUACGUCGGUCGUUGAAAGCCCCCGGCUCAACCGGGGAAUGGGCGCCGAAACGACCCGUCUGGAGGGACGUAGGGGGACCUGGAACUGCCGGUGGAGCGGUGAAAUGCGUUGAGAUCGGAAGGAACGCCCGUGGCGAAAGCGAGGUCCUGGACGUCUACUGACGCUGAGACGCGAAAGCUAGGGUAGCGAACGGG
rnacentral:rRNA from 1 species